rnacentral:rRNA from 1 species
UACGUAGGGGGCAAGCGUUGUCCGGAUUUACUGGGCGUAAAGAGCGUGUAGGCGGCCACGCAGGUCCGUUGUGAAAACUGGAGGCUCAACUUCCAGACGUCGACGGAAACCGCGUGGCUAGAGUCCGGAAGAGGAGAGUGGAAUUCCUGGUGUAGCGGUGAAAUGCGCAGAUAUCAGGAAGAACACCAAUGGCGAAGGCAGCUCUCUGGGACGGUACUGACGCUGAGACGCGAAAGCGUGGGGAGCGAACAGG